rnacentral:lncRNA from 1 species
GGCGUUUGAGCAACCCGGGCUAGUAAAAGGUGUCCCUGCCCAUGGCAGGGGGGUUGGAAUCAGAUGAUGUUUAAAGGUCUGUUCCAACCCAAAUCAUUCCAUGAGUCUGUGAUUAUGAAGUGCUGGGCUGCAGGUGCCCUCCACAGUAGAGUCCCACGAGGAUUGGAUGUGAUCAAGACUGGAACUUUGGUGAGGGGGUGUUGCCAAGCAACCUCCUGGAAUCUCUGUAAACACUCCAUUGCAGUUGGUAACACAGUAUCCCUUCCUGUCAUUCUGCCUGCAUGGGAAAGCCUCAAUAUGGGAAGAACUAACACAGAAAAAGCUGACAAUCCAGUGGUUUCAUCAGGACAUGAAGCAGAAGAAAGUGUUGGUCAACGACGCUCCAUUCGACAGAGGAAAGCUGUUGAGCGCUAUCAAGCUCCAUUGGAAAGUAGGUGUGGGUGUGCUGGAUUGUCGUUAAGGUGGAUGCCACUUCUCAGCUGGAAAGGGGAGAGAAAAUAAGAUGGAAGAGAACUUGUAGGUUGAGAUAAGGCAGUUUACUAAAGCAAAUGUGCACAAGCAAAGAGGAAAAAAAGAUUUUAUUUUCUACAUCCCAUCAGCAGGCAAUGUCUGGCCAUUUCCCGGGAGGCAGAGCUUCAGCAUGCGUAGCAGUUGCUCUGCAAGACAAACAUUGUACAUAAGGAAUGCCCCACCUUCCUCUUCCUUUUCUUAGGUUUUAUAUCUGAGCUGAUGUCAUAUGGUAUGGAAUACCCCUUUGGUUAAUUUGGGUCAGCUGACCUAGCUGUGUCCCCUCCCAAGAUCUUGCCCACCCCCAGC